AGGCCAAGUCUAAUGGGAGGUCGUUUUCAAUUUUUGGAUUGGGGUUAUUCUACAAUGAAGUACGCUUGGUUGCUGUACUCUAAAUGCAUGGGAAGACGAAGAAAUAGCAUUUAUCGCGCAGAGAAGCAGCGAGCCAUUAGAAUGUCGCCAUCUUUCACGAAACAUCGAAGACACAAUAUCGAGGAUAAAUUACACUGCACUGGAUCAAAACGUCAUGAAACUUGGUUGAAAUCGUCUUUAGCCAUUUAUGAUUAUGUAAAAGUUCAAUAACUGGAUGAUAUUUGCGAGACUCGGCGAUAAAUAGCGAACAAAACAUCAAAAUAUGGCUGAAAUUUUGUUUUCGUGGAGGGGUAAGUGAAAUAAUAUGUAGUAUAUUUAAAGAAAACAAUGACAAUCUUGAUGAAAUCCACAAAAAUUAUAUUCAAGUAAGACAAAAUUUUUCUUCCAAAGACCACCCCUAAAACAACGGUUCUACGCUCUAUAUCCACUUCAGAAAGGCUAUCGCUUUUUUUUUUAAGUUAGAACUAUGUCGACACUGCCUUUUCAGGGCGGGGUCAUUUUCUGGACUUUAGCCCCGGAUUCAAGUUUUGGCACAUAUACCAUGUUGACUACCAUGGUCAUUUUACCCUAAAACAAUUGUAUUACCCGCUGUCCUAACUGAAGCGCAUGCGAACUCAUAUACAUGUCCUAAAUUAUUACGUGUUAGCAAACUAAUUUUUAAAAUUUGAAGUUGUUAAAAAUAAUACUGAAUAUAUUUUUCAAAAAAUAUCCGAAAGAAAAGUCCGUGAAUGCAGAUCUUGUGUAUAUAAUAAAACAGUUAUUCCACUCACUCUCGUCGAAUAUAAACGAUAGGCGAUUUGGCACCACGCGCCACAUUCGCUAUCAGCUCAUAUUGUACUCGAGUUCGUAGAAUAACUGUUAAAUAUUUCACUUUAUUACAUUGUAUCCCACACUAACUCAGUUUUAAAUUGAUACUCUUAGUUAAUCAAUCAUUUACCAAUACAUUUACUUCUAUCCACCUAUUAUUUUAUUUUGUGUCUGUCUAGAUGUUGAUGAAUGUUCUUUUGGUACUGACAACUGUCACAAUAAUGCUACAUGUAAUAAUACAGAUGGUUCAUUUGAAUGUAGUUGCAAUGACGGAUAUUCAGG